GCAGGUUGAAGGUUGAGUAACAUCAACUGGAGGACCGAACCGACUAAUGUUGAAAAAUUAGCGGAUGACUUGUGGCUAGGGGUGAAAGGCCAAUCAAACUCGGAGAUAGCUGGUUCUCCCCGAAAGCUAUUUAGGUAGCGCCUCGGACGAAUACUACUGGGGGUAGAGCACUGUUAAGGCUAGGGGGUCAUCCCGACUUACCAACCCUUUGCAAACUCCGAAUACCAGUAAGUACUAUCCGGGAGACACACGGCGGGUGCUAACGUCCGUCGUGGAGAGGGAAACAACCCAGACCGCCAGCUAAGGUCCCAAAGUAUUGCUAAGUGGGAAACGAUGUGGGAAGGCUCAGACAGCUAGGAUGUUGGCUUAGAAGCAGCCAUCAUUUAAAGAAAGCGUAAUAGCUCACUAGUCGAGUCGGCCUGCGCGGAAGAUGUAACGGGGCUAAGCAAUACACCGAAGCUGCGGCAAUGUCUUUUAGACAUUGGGUAGGGGAGCGUUCUGUAAGCCGUUGAAGGUGAAUCGUAAGGUUUGCUGGAGGUAUCAGAAGUGCGAAUGCUGACAUGAGUAACGACAAAGGGGGUGAAAAACCUCCUCGCCGGAAGACCAAGGGUUCCUGUCCAACGUUAAUCGGGGCAGGGUGAGUCGACCCCUAAGGUGAGGCCGAAAGGCGUAAUCGAUGGGAAACGGGUUAAUAUUCCCGUACUUCUGACUAUUGCGAUGGGGGGACGGAGAAGGCUAGGUGGGCCAGGCGACGGUUGUCCUGGUUCAAGUGCGUAGGCUUGAGGGUUAGGUAAAUCCGGCUCUCUCUAAGGCUGAGACACGACGUCGAGCUGCUACGGCAGUGAAGUCAUUGAUGCCAUGCUUCCAGGAAAAGCCUCUAAGCUUCAGAUAGUCAGGAAUCGUACCCCAAACCGACACAGGUGGUCGGGUAGAGAAUACCAAGGCGCUUGAGAGAACUCGGGUGAAGGAACUAGGCAAAAUGGUACCGUAACUUCGGGAGAAGGUACGCUCUUGAUGGUGAAGUCCCUCGCGGAUGGAGCUGACGAGAGUCGCAGAUACCAGGUGGCUGCAACUGUUUAUUAAAAACACAGCACUGUGCAAAAUCGCAAGAUGACGUAUACGGUGUGACGCCUGCCCGGUGCCGGAAGGUUAAUUGAUGGGGUUAGCGCAAGCGAAGCUCUUGAUCGAAGCCCCGGUAAACGGCGGCCGUAACUAUAACGGUCCUAAGGUAGCGAAAUUCCUUGUCGGGUAAGUUCCGACCUGCACGAAUGGCGUAAUGAUGGCCACGCUGUCUCCACCCGAGACUCAGUGAAAUUGAAAUCGCUGUGAAGAUGCAGUGUACCCGCGGCUAGACGGAAAGACCCCGUGAACCUUUACUACAGCUUGGCACUGAACAUUGAACCUACAUGUGUAGGAUAGGUGGGAGGCUAUGAAGACGUGACGCCAGUUGCGUUGGAGCCGUCCUUGAAAUACCACCCUUGUAUGUUUGAUGUUCUAACUUAGACCCAUUAUCUGGGUUGAGGACAGUGCCUGGUGGGUAGUUUGACUGGGGCGGUCUCCUCCCAAAGAGUAACGGAGGAGCACGAAGGUGGGCUAAUCACGGUUGGACAUCGUGAGGUUAGUGCAAUGGCAUAAGCCCGCUUAACUGCGAGAAUGACGGUUCGAGCAGGUGCGAAAGCAGGUCAUAGUGAUCCGGUGGUUCUGUAUGGAAGGGCCAUCGCUCAACGGAUAAAAGGUACUCCGGGGAUAACAGGCUGAUACCGCCCAAGAGUUCAUAUCGACGGCGGUGUUUGGCACCUCGAUGUCGGCUCAUCACAUCCUGGGGCUGAAGUCGGUCCCAAGGGUAUGGCUGUUCGCCAUUUAAAGUGGUACGCGAGCUGGGUUUAGAACGUCGUGAGACAGUUCGGUCCCUAUCUGCCGUGGGCGUUGGAAGAUUGAAGGGGGCUGCUCCUAGUACGAGAGGACCGGAGUGGACGAACCUCUGGUGUUCGGGUUGUGUCGCCAGACGCAUUGCCCGGUAGCUAAGUUCGGAAUUGAUAAGCGCUGAAAGCAUCUAAGCGCGAAGCGAGCCCUGAGAUGAGUCUUCCCUGAUACUUUAAGUAUCCUAAAGGGUUGUUCGAGACUAGAACGUUGAUAGGCAGGGUGUGUAAGCGUUGUGAGGCGUUGAGCUAACCUGUACUAAUUGCCCGUGAGGCUUAACCAUACAACACCCAAGGGGUUUUGUA
rnacentral:rRNA from 1 species